AUUGAACGCUGGCGGCAGGCCUAACACAUGCAAGUCGAACGGUAGCACAGAGAGCUUGCUCUCGGGUGACGAGUGGCGGACGGGUGAGUAAUGUCUGGGAAACUGCCUGAUGGAGGGGGAUAACUACUGGAAACGGUAGCUAAUACCGCAUAAUGUCGCAAGACCAAAGAGGGGGACCUUCGGGCCUCUUGCCAUCGGAUGUGCCCAGAUGGGAUUAGCUAGUAGGUGGGGUAACGGCUCACCUAGGCGACGAUCCCUAGCUGGUCUGAGAGGAUGACCAGCCACACUGGAACUGAGACACAGUCCAACCUCCUACGGGAGGCAGGAGUCGGGAAGAUUGCACAAUGGGCGCAAGCCUGAUGCAGCCAUGCCGGGUGUAUGAAGAAGGCCUUCGGGUUGUAAAGUACUUUCAGCGGGGAGGAAGGGGUUGAGUUUAAUACGCUCAAUCAUUGACGUUACCCGCAGAAGAAGCACCGGCUAACUCCGUGCCAGCAGCCGCCGUAAAAC
rnacentral:rRNA from 1 species